CGCUGCAGGGAGAGGGGCCUGGACUGGCCGGGCGAGUGUGUCAGAAGCGGCGAAGAAAGAGUCCGGGGUGGGAGUCGUGGCGGAAGGGCUGGCGGAGUAUCGGCCGGGGGCGUGGGGGAAGCGCAGGGGCCGGAGGGCCGGGGGAGGCUCACCCGGCGCCCCCCGGCCUAAGGAUACAGGGACCGGCCAUCUAUCUAGCCUGGGGAGGCUCUGGACUCCCCGAGCGGGCGGCGAGGAGGUUCUCUGCCGCCACCGGCGUUCACUGGGUCAGGGCCAGUUCAGCGCCCUGGCAGGGAAGGGGUCUCUGGGCGGGCCGGCCCCUCCUCUCGUUCCCUCCGGGGGAUGUUAUGUAAGGGGGGAGGGGAGGCGAGUAGGGGGCGGCGGUGCCGGGGCCUUAUGCAACCCAAAGGUUAGGGUUUCACCGCGGUCGGGCGGGGGGAAGAGGGCAAGAGGAGGGCCUGGAAACUCUAACCCCCGCUCCCCAGACUAACUGGCCGUCUUGGGCCGAGAGAAGGUCACCUCUGCACCUCCCCCCAGCCUAUCCUGUCGUGAGGCCCCUAGCCCAGGCCUGGCCCCGACUGCCUGGGAAGCCGGCUGGCUGGGUGGGGCGCCUGGGUUAGUCAUCACUGGGCUGCCUCUCUCCCCACCUCCCGGCCAACUCUUGGCCCCUCCCCAUGGCCUAGGCUGUCGCCCCCACCUCCCUCCGGCCCUGGUUCCAGCCUCCAACUCUUUUGGCCUGUCAUCCUGGCUGUCAGACUGGACGAGGAGCUGUCAGAGUGCCAGGGGGUUGAUGGAGCAGCUGGUCAGAGGGUCAGUGCCCUGGGCCCACCCCACCCUGCAGCCAAGGGCACCUGCUUGGCACAGACUCUCAGCAGCUGCCGAGUCCUCUGGGCUGAACGGAGCCAUCUCAGACAGAGGAAAGUCGGACAGAGUUGGACUGGUCACCUAGGGAAAGGAAGACACCACAAAGUUCACGCCUCCCAAGAGGGUUUCGGAAUUUGAACCGCGCCCCGUAUCCCCAAAUCUUUCUUACACUCUGAGUUUAGAAAUUCCAAGGCAAGACCGCCCGGGCCCCUCUGCCCACCGUGGGCCAUGCCCUUGGACCGAGUGUCGGCACACACCCACCCUCCCCAGCUCACAUCCCCCGAGCCUGCCACGCCCCCAGCCCCCUCCCUGGGCCAUGCUGCAGGGCCCGGCUUUUCCUGCUGAUUCAUGCGUUGGAACUGUGGGGGCGGGGCUUGCAACUUGGAACAAAGUUCAGACAUGGAGGGGCCGGCAGACAGCCUGGAAUUCAUACCAGAUGUACCCGGAAUGCGCAAGCGGAAUGCCUGGCAUCCGAGAGGCCUGGAGAAGCUGCCCAACCACCCUGCCCAUCCCUCCCUCCCUUCCAGCCUGUGGUCCCCUGUCCGCCCCCUCACAGCCCCAGGAGCCUCUGCUGACCUUCUUUCCAACGCUAGACUUCCUCCCUUCCUCGCUCUUCCCCAACCCAGGGCCCCAGCACACUCCUUCCAGCUCAGCUCCCUGGGAACCAGUCAGUUGGGCCGAUCCCUGAACUCACGUUUCUGGACCUGAGGUACCACACUUCUAGCACCUGGGUGCUGGUGGGGUGUGUCCAGGGUCUCAGGCCUGGCCCGCCUGAAUGCUGAGGAGGCUGGGCCCCGGGCGCUGCUGGGGCAGGGGAGGGCAGAGCUGGACUGGGUUUGUGUAGACUCCAGUUCGAAAGAAGAGCAAGGGGUCUGUUAGAGCUGCCUUUUCCGCUCGCCGGAGUUAACAGCUUCUGCAGGCCCAGGUCAGAGCUGCAACCCUUCUCUAGAAGCUUGAAGGUCUGUCUGCCGGGUGGGACUCCGAUGGCCAGUGGGUCAGUGUCCCUGAACCGGCCUUGCUCACGUGGCUCCCGUUGUUCCUCCCUCUCCCUCUAGGAGCUCGCGCCUCUCACACCCUCACCUGGCUGAGCCGCAGUAGUUCUUCAGUGGCAAGCUUUAUGUCCUCACCCCGCUAAAGCUGCCAGUUGAAGAACUGUUGCCCUCUGCCCCUGGCUUCGAGGAAGACAAGGAGGAGCUGCUUUCCCCAGCAUCUGGAAGGUGACAGAACCGGGGCUGGGAAGGUCCGCACGGCAGGGUUGGUGAUACGUUUUGGGAAAGCUGGAGAGCCUUUGCCCAGAUGGGCCCGCAAGGAGCAGUUUUUAGAUUAGCGACACUGGCUGAAUUGAGAAGGAGAAGGCUCAAACAACCCAAGUGUCUCCCUCCAGCCCUCGGCAUGUUCUUCUACCAUCUUCACCCGUCAUGGAGCAGAGGUGAGGAAAGGCAGCUUGGGAACACAAAGACCAGUGAAGGACCAGGUCUGGACAGCACAGGGUCCUCCCUGGGCAUCCAACAGAGGCGCCCAUAAACGCCGGAGCACCCCAAGAGGAGGGAGCACAGCCAGCCUCCAUCGACGGCAAGCCUCCAGCCCCUCGUACUUUGAUCACCAUUUCUCUCCAGUCUUUCUGCCUCCGACAUGGGGCACCGUCAGUGCAGUGCCCUGCGGCUUCAGCGCCCUACUUCCUCCUCCCAGCCUGUAAUGUUUAUAUAAGCAGACUCAAGGACCAAGAGCCAGCUGUGGAAGGACACACACAGGAAAUUCAUAAAGGAAAUUCUAAUGGUUAAAACCCCGAACCAAAUGUAUGCUUCAUUAGUAAUUAAAGAAAGGCAAAUAGAGCUGAAAGCGUUUUUCCCUUAGCAAACCAUCACAGAAAAAAAUAAGACCCAGUAUUGGCAAAGAGACUGCUAAAAUAACAUGCCCAUACAUUGUGUGUGGGAGGAUAGAUUGGUGCUGGCUUCCUGGACGGCAGUUUGGUGAUGUGUGCCAUGUAGCCUAAAAGCGUCCAUGUCCUUUGACCUACUAAUUCUAUGUUUGGGAAUUUAUCCUAAGAAAAUAAUUAAGGAUUUAGUUAGUUAUAAGAUCAUCUCAGGCCGGGCGCGGUGGCUCAAGCCUGUAAUCCCAGCACUU